UACGGAAGGCAGCAGUGGGGAAUAUUGCACAAUGGGCGCAAGCCUGAUGCAGCCAUGCCGCGUGUAUGAAGAAGGCCUUCGGGUUGUAAAGUACUUUCAGUCGUGAGGAAGGUGUUAAGGUUAAUAACCUUAGCAAUUGACGUUAGCGACAGAAGAAGCACCGGCUAACUCCGUGCCAGCAGCCGCGGUAAUACGGAGGGUGCGAGCGUUAAUCGGAAUUACUGGGCGUAAAGGGCACGCAGGCGGUUAAUUAAGUUGGAUGUGAAAUCCCCGGGCUUAACCUGGGAAUGGCAUUCAAGCUGGUUAGCUAGAGUCUUGUAGAGGGGGUAGAAUUCCAUGUGUAGCGGUGAAAUGCGUAGAGAUGUGGAGGAAUACCGGUGGCGAAGGCGGCCCCUGGCAAAGGACUGACGCUCAUGUGCGAAAGCGUGGGGAGCGAAAC
rnacentral:rRNA from 1 species